UGAACCCGACAUGGCCUUUGCCUGAUAACCAUCCCGUAACAAGAAUACUGGCAUAAUAGCCCGAAGUGCAGGAAAAGUUUAUUUUCUUCAUAAUCAGAUGAAAAUGUUGUGGGUACAGAGCCAGAGAACGGGCUUAUAUUGGAUGUGUUUUGGUGCCUUUAAGUUAAACAGCUGUAUUUUUUUUUAAACAAUAACCGCGCCAUCCUAGUAAACUUUUUGAGAUGAAAUGAGGGCUUUGGAUUCUAUUGGGAAAUCUACAUUCGUCUUAAAGAUGGUGCACAAUAUCCUCAACUUUGUUAUUCUCUAAAGAUGAGUUCUUCGAGAGUCAAGAUCCUGGUUUUGCUUCAUACUCAUCCCGUGGGUCGGGCAAAUCUCAAAGACCGAACCCAGCAGACUGACUUCAGCUGCAACAGGCCGAUGUCCAGAACGUGAAACAGGCAAUGUGAAGAGUUCCGGGACCCUGCAUCCCAUCGAAUGAAAACCCAGGAAAGUGACUUGCUGAUCCCUGGUUUCAUAAUUAAAAGUCUGCAGGAACAGACCAAGUCAAGAGAAAAGGUGGGCCAAGUUGGCGGGUCCUCCCUAAGUCAGAGAGAAUCAGGCGAUGGAGGCUUACCAGGCUGGGUCCCUCCCGAGCGGGAGCCUCUGCGAACACCUCUCCCCUUUCCCAGGAGGAAGCUCUGGAAAUUCAACCGUAUCCAUUAAAAGGGAUGCCAGCCCUGAGUUGAUUAUCAGCACCCUGCCAAGAGAGUGAGCCUCUGCUACCAGCUGUCCCAGGGCUCCCUGCAAAACGAAGCCUCACAUUCCAGGGCUUGAUGUGAGCCCUCUCUGCUGGACCCCACCACAUGGCUGAGUUCUGGCUCCACGUCCACCAUGGAACCCAAUGUGAGGCUUGAACUUGCGACCCUGAGAUCAAGACCUGAACUGAGAUCAAGAGUCAGACGGACGCUCAACUGACUGAGCCGCCCAGGCGCCCUCAACAAAUACCCUAGCGCCUGCUACCUGCCAGCCGCUCUCCUAAGUGUUU